CAGGACGAACGCUGGCGGCGCACAUAAGACAUGCAAGUCGAAACGGACUUAACCAUUAGUUUACUAUUGGAGCGGUUAGUGGCGGACUGGUGAGUAACACGUAAGCAACCUGCCUAUCAGAGGGGGAACAACAGUUAGAAAUGACUGCUAAUACCGCAUAUGCCUUAAUCUUCACAUGGAGAUAGAGGGAAAGGAGCAAUCCGCUGAUAGAUGGGCUUGCGUCUGAUUAGCUAGUAGGUGGGGUAAAGGCCUACCUAGGCAACGAUCAGUAGCCGGACUGAGAGGUUGAACGGCCACAUUGGGACUGAGAUACGGCCCAGACUCCUACGGGAGGCAGCAGUCGGGAAUAUUGCGCAAUGGAGGAAACUCUGACGCAGUGACGCCGCGUGCAGGAAGAAGGUUUUCGGAUUGUAAACUAUUGUCGUUAGGGAAGAAAAAGGACAGUACCUAAGGAGGAAGCUCCGGCUAACUACGUGCC
rnacentral:rRNA from 2 species